UGGGGAAUAUUGCACAAUGGAGGGAACUCUGAUGCAGCGACGCCGCGUGAACGAAGAAGGCUUUCGAGUCGUAAAGUUCUUUUAUAUGGGAAGAUAAUGACGGUACCAUAAGAAAAAGCCCCGGCUAACUACGUGCCAGCAGCCGCGGUAAUACGUAGGGGGCUAGCGUUGUCCGGAAUCACUGGGCGUAAAGGGUUCACAGGCGGAAAUGCAAGUCAGGUGUAAAAGGCAGUAGCUUAACUACUGUAAGCAUUUGAAACUGCAUAUCUUGAGAAGAGUAGAGGUAAGUGGAAUUUUUAGUGUAGCGGUGAAAUGCGUAGAUAUUAAAAAGAAUACCGGUGGCGAAGGCGACUUACUGGGCUCAUACUGACGCUGAGGAACGAAAGCGUGGGUAGCAAACAGG
rnacentral:rRNA from 1 species